UAGACUGUCAGGCCUUGGAAAGGAUUUCAGGUCUACUCACAGAUGGUUGCCGCACCGGGUCCGCUGGUGUAGCGAGUUCCAUACAGACUCCGAAGAGCAUUAGAAGCUCCUUGAGCGAUCUUCAACUGCAUAUCAGAGGAGCCAGCGUUCCAGUUCCUGUUGGGAUCAGCGCCGACGCAGCUGGAUCCAGACCUCCUCGAGCGAGUUUUCCUCCACAUCCUGUUCUGCAAAGCAGAUAAUGCAAACAGCAGCGACGCGUGAUGAAAUGAGCAUCUACGACAGCGGAGCAUUGCAGAAGCGGAUGGGAUUUUUUUUUUUGUUUUGUUUUAUUUUGGAUCGUACCUCCUUGACAAACCACUGGCAGAAAGCGGGAGAGAUCCACUCCCUGGCGUGGAUGCCGCAGUCCAUGAAGAUGGCAGGCUUGUUGAAGCCGGUCCUCUUCCCGAGCUGCAGUGGCAAACAAACAGCAUGGUCCGGACCAUGUCCUGGUACAAGGCAGGCACACGGACGUCCACGUCGAUGUCGACGGUCACCAGCUCGGCGCUCUCGGGGCUCCAGAAGUCCAUCUGCAAAAAAAAA